CCCAAACUGUGUGAGUGCGAUUUUCAAUCGCAAAAUUACUGAUAAAAACCUAUUCGCUUGAAGAGGUAGAGUGUGGAGAACUGUUGUGGAUAACAUCAAUCAACCCGGAACGAUUUACGAUCUCACUUAUUCAAAACUAAAGAAUCGGAGAAUCCAGUUAUUACUGUCAAUGAUUACUGGCUAUACAGAUAAAUCAAAAAGUAAACAUAGAGGACAAUGAUGCAUUAGAGACUGGCAUAUCAUCUCAUACGGACAACACCGUAGGAGAGUUUUUUUUAUAUUUGAACAAUUCAGCUUCGCUUCAAAGAAAGUUGGACGCCUUGAAAAAAAAAAUUUAAACUCACCGUUUGGACUUAUGGAAGAUAUUGAAAAUGCUAUAAAGUAGGGAUAUUAUACGGGAUUUGUAUAUACUUUUGUAAAUAAUAUAUUGUAUGAUAUUUUAAAAGAAAAUAAUGAGUACCACCAGUGUUACUACAAAUGGCUAGUGAAUUUAGUAAGUAAUUUUGCCAAUUUUGUAAAGUUGGCAAGAAAAUAAUUACUAAAUAGUUGGUAAUUUUGCCAAUUUUCGCAAAAUUGGCCAAAAACAAAAAAAAAUAUCUACUAAAAACACUAGCCAGUUGUGUCUGAGUUUAGCGAACCGACUAUAACUCUUGUUAAAUUAAGGUUGAGUUUACACUUUUGACUUGCCUACAGAUUUAAAAAUAUUUUUGUCAUAAUAUACAGUAUGUCCCUGUAAGUUGGAACCAUAAUAUGGAAAACUUUUUUAUUAUUCAUUUUAUGAAAAAUAGUUGUUCUACAUAAAAGGUUCUGCAAUAUCUAGAAUCUCUGAUUCAACCAUCAGAUAGUAAAUUUUUAUGGGUAUUACACAGGGUAUGUCAAAAAAUAUGAAUUUCACUCAAGAGAAAAGUAGCUUUAUUUUUACAAUAUUGAACAUUGUUAUUAUGAACAGUUAAUUGGAAUUAGAACUAUAUUCUAAUAUGCAAUUACAUCCUUCUAAUUGAAAAAGAAAUUAAAAAUUUUUCUCGGCAUAUAUCAUCAACAUUAUUUUCUGUUAUUUCAAUUAUGAUAACUUUUGUUAUUAAUUUUACGAAAGAAAAGUUAUAGAAUGUUCUGCAUGAUCUAAAACCUAAAAUAUAACCAUCUUAUAUCAAA